ensembl:lncRNA
CUCGCAUUAACAUCUGCUAACCAUGUGUGUGUGACAAAUAACAUUUUAUUUGAUUUAUACAAUAACAUAAUAGUAUUCAGAUUAGUACAUAUACAGUAACAUACUAGUAUUCUGAUUAGUCAGUCCUGAUUGAAAUGUAUACAUAAUUAGUCAUCAUUGAUAAAAAUUCCCUUAACAGCCAGCCAGACCAGUUGGAUAACAUGAUAGAGCUCUAUGGCCAGUCAGACCAGUUGGAUAACAUGAUAAUAGAGCUCUUUGGCCAGCCAGACCAGUUGGAUAACAUGAUAGAGCUCUUUGGCCAGUCAGAUAACAUGAUAAUAGAGCUAUGGCCAGCCAGACCAGUUGGAUAUAACAUGAGAAUAGAGCUCUUUGACCAGUCAGAUAACAUGGUAAUAGAGCUCUUUGGCCAGUCAGAUAACAUGAUAGAGCUCUUUGGCCAGUCAGACAACAUGGUAAUAGAGCUCUUUGGCCAGUCAGAUAACAUGAUAAUAGAGCUCUUUGGCCAGCCAGACCAGUUGGAUAACAUGAUAGAGCUCUUUGACCAGUCAGACCAGUUGGAUAACAUGAUAAUAGAGCUCUUUGUCCAGUCAGAUAACAUGAUAAUAGAGCUCUUUGGCCAGUUGGAUAACAUGAUAAGAGCUCUUUGGCCAGUCAGACCAGUUGGAUAACAUGGUAAUAGAGCUCUUUGGCCAGUCAGAUAUAACAUGAUAGAGCUCUUUGGCCAGUCAGACCAGUUGGAUAUAACAUGAUAAGAGCUCUUUGGCCAGUCAGACCAGUUGGAUAUAACAUGAGAAUAGAGCUCUUUGGCCAGUCAGAUAACAUGAUAAUAGAGCUCUUUGGCCAGUCAGAUAACAUGAUGAUAGAGCUCUUUGGCCAGCCAGACAAGUUGGAUAACAUGAUAGAGCUCUUUGGCCAGUCAGAUAACAUGGUAAUAGAGCUCUUUGGCCAGUCAGAUAACAUGAGAAUAGAGCUCUUUGGCCAGUCAGACCAGUUGGAUAACAUGAGAGCUCUUUGGCCAGGCACUUGAACCCCAUUGAAAAGCUGUGUUUUGAAUGGAAGAGGGCAGACCAUAACCCCAGAGGAAGCAGGAUAUCUAUGAUCUGAAAGGAUUCUGUAUGGAGGGAUAGUUUAAGAUCCCUUCCUAUGUUUAUUACCUUCUCAGAAAACAUUUUAGAAAAAGGCCACGCCGUUAUCCUCGCAAGGUGAGGUAUUGAAAACUGGUGUCAAUUUUUACUAACAUUUGAGGAGAACAUUUUGUUUAACAAUCUCUUUGAACAAUUGUAUAAGUAUACAAUUUGGGAAAUGUUUAAGCAUAAAAUAUAACUCAGAAUAUGAAUUGUUUUUGCUCAUCUUUAUCAAGGGUGUCAAUCAUUUCAGCCCCCACUAUCCAGAAUAAUCACUAUGUUGAAUAUAAUUUCAGCCCCCACUAUAAUCACUACGUUGAAUGUGCUGGCUGGUUUGACUUUCAGAUGAUUGAUGAUGUCAUCUAGUUUCAUUAGGACCACUCCUCCUCCUCAACAUUCUUACCUACAGCUCAGACACUAGGCCACAGUAGCAGAGAUGUUCUGUUACCUACUGUACAGACACUAGGCUACAGUAGCAGAGAUGUUCUGUUACCUACUGUACAGACACUAGGCUACAGUAGCAGAGAUGCUUUGUUUCCUACUGUUGACACUUGGCUACAGUAGCAGAGAUGCUUUGUUUCCUACUGUACAGACACUAGGCUACAGUAGCAGAGAUGUUCUGUUACCUACUGUACAGCCACUAGGCUACAGUAGCAGAGAUGUUACCUACUGUACAGCCACUAGGCUACAGUAGCAGAGAUGUUACCUACUGUACAGCCACUAGGCUACAGUAGCAGAGAUGUUCUGUUACCUGCAGCUCACAGACACUAGACUACAGUAGCAGAGAUGUUCUGUUACCUACUGUACAGUAGGAGAGAUGUUCUGUUUGACUCCUCAUAGCAGAACACCUUGAUGGAACCAGGAAGUCAGCAUGGUCUGUAACGUUUGACCCCUCAUCAGUACACCUUGAUGGAACCAGGUUAGCAACGAUUGACCCCUCAUCAGUACACCUUGAUAGACCAUGCUGACUUCCUGGUUCCGUAACGUUUGACCCCUCCUAUCGGUACACCUUGAUGGAACCAGGAAGUCAGCAUGGUCUGUAACGUUUGACCCCUCAUCAGUACACCUUGAUGGAACCAGGAAGUCAGCAUGGUCU